ensembl:snRNA U2 U2 spliceosomal RNA
GUUGCUUCUUGGCCUUUGGGCUAAGAUCAAGCGUAGUAUCUGAUUCAGUAUCUGAUACGUCCUCUAUCUGAGGACAAUAUAUUAAAUGGAUUUUUGGAGCAGGGAGUUGGAAUAGGAACUUGCUCUGUCCAGUCCAUGUGUCAACCUCAUAUUACAGUACCUCCAGGCAUGGUGCAAAACAA